rnacentral:tRNA from 1 species
GUGGGUAUAGCUCAGCUGGUAGAGCGCUGCCUUGUGGUGGCAGAUGUCGCGGGUUCGAGUCCCGUUACUCACC